rnacentral:rRNA from 1 species
UACGAAGGGGGCUAGCGUUGCUCGGAAUCACUGGGCGUAAAGAGCGUGUAGGCGGCCCGGUAAGUCCGCUGUGAAAGUCCAGGGCUCAACCCUGGAAUGCCGGUGGAAACUGUCGGGCUAGAGUCCGGAAGAGGCGAGUGGAAUUCCUGGUGUAGCGGUGAAAUGCGCAGAUAUCAGGAGGAACACCAAUGGCGAAGGCAGCUCGCUGGGACGGUACUGACGCUGAGACGCGAAAGCGUGGGGAGCAAACAGG